rnacentral:rRNA from 1 species
GAUGAACGCUAGCGGCAGGCCUAACACAUGCAAGUCGAGGGGUAGCAGGAUUAAGCUUGCUUAAUUGCUGACGACCGGCGCACGGGUGCGUAACGCGUAUGCAACCUACCUUAUACUGGGGUAUAGCCCGGAGAAAUUCGGAUUAAUCCCCCAUAGUACUAAUGAAUCGCAUGGUUUAUUAGUUAAAGCAUUGCGGUAUAAGAUGGGCAUGCGUCCUAUUAGCUAGAUGGUGAGGUAACGGCUCACCAUGGCUACGAUUGGUAGGGGUUCUGAGAGGAUGAUCCCCCACACUGGUACUGAGACACGGACCAGACUCCUACGGGAGGCAGCAGUGAGGAAUAUUGCGCAAUGGACGAAAGUCUGACGCAGCCAUGCCGCGUGCAGGAUGACGGCCCUAUGGGUUGUAAACUGCUUUUGUACGGGAAUAAACCCUUCUACAUGUAGGAGGCUGAAGGUACCGUAAGAAUAAGCACCGGCUAACUCCGUGCCAGCCGCCGCCGUAA